CAAUGGGCGAAAUCCUGAUGGAGCAACCCCGCGUGAGUGAAGAAGGUUUUCGGAUCGUAAAACUCUGUUGUAAGGGAAGACCAAGUACAGUAGUAACUGGCUGUACCUUGACGGUACCUUAUUAGAAAGCCACGGCUAACUACGUGCCAGCAGCCGCGGUAAUACGUAGGUGGCAAGCGUUGUCCGGAAUUAUUGGGCGUAAAGCGCGCGCAGGCGGUCCUUUAAGUCUGAUGUGAAAGCCCACGGCUCAACCGUGGAGGGUCAUUGGAAACUGGGGGACUUGAGUGCAGAAGAGGAAAGUGGAAUUCCAAGUGUAGCGGUGAAAUGCGUAGAGAUUUGGAGGAACACCAGUGGCGAAGGCGACUUUCUGGUCUGUAACUGACGCUGAGGCGCGAAAGCGUGGGGAGCAAACAGGAUUAGAUACCCUGGUAGUCCACGCCGUAAACAAAGAGUGCUAAGUGUUAGGGGGUUUCCGCCCCUUAGUGCUG
rnacentral:rRNA from 1 species